rnacentral:rRNA from 1 species
UGGGGAAUUUUGGACAAUGGGCGCAAGCCUGAUCCAGCCAUGCCGCGUGCAGGAUGAAGGCCUUCGGGUUGUAAACUGCUUUUGUACGGAACGAAAAGGUUUGGCCUAAUAAGUUGAACUCAUGACGGUACCGUAAGAAUAAGCACCGGCUAACUACGUGCCAGCAGCCGCGGUAAUACGUAGGGUGCGAGCGUUAAUCGGAAUUACUGGGCGUAAAGCGUGCGCAGGCGGUUAUGUAAGACAGAUGUGAAAUCCCCGGGCUCAACCUGGGAACUGCAUUAGUGACUGCAUAGCUGGAGUACGGCAGAGGGGGAUGGAAUUCCGCGUGUAGCAGUGAAAUGCGUAGAUAUGCGGAGGAACACCGAUGGCGAAGGCAAUCCCCUGGGCCUGUACUGACGCUCAUGCACGAAAGCGUGGGGAGCAAACAGG